AUUGAACGCUGGCGGCAGGCUUAGCACAUGCAAGUCGAGCGGGGGAAGGUAGCUUGCUACUGGACCUAGCGGCGGACGGGUGAGUAAUGCUUAGGAAUCUGCCUAUUAGUGGGGGACAACAUCUCGAAAGGGAUGCUAAUACCGCAUACGUCCUACGGGAGAAAGCAGGGGAUCUUCGGACCUUGCGCUAAUAGAUGAGCCUAAGUCGGAUUAGCUAGUUGGUGGGGUAAAGGCCUACCAAGGCGACGAUCUGUAGCGGGUCUGAGAGGAUGAUCGGCCACACUGGGACUGAGACACGGCCCAGACUCCUACGGGAGGCAGCAGUGGGGAAUAUUGGACAAGGGGGGGAACCCUGAUCCAGCCAUGCCGCGUGUGUGAAGAAGGCCUUAUGGUUGUAAAGCACUUUAAGCGAGGAGGAGGCUACUUUAGUUAAUACCUAGAGAUAGUGGACGUUACUCGCAGAGUAAGCACCGGCUAACUCUGUGCCAGCCGCCGCCGUAA
rnacentral:rRNA from 1 species